UACCAGCUCUCCGAGUUGUAGGGACGAUUAUUGGGCUUAAAGCGUCCGUAGCUGGCUUAGCAAGUCUCCUGUUAAAUUCAGCGACCUAAUCGUUGAGCCGCGGGAGAUACUACUAGGCUAGGAGGCGAGAGAGGUCGACGGUACUUUCGGGGUAGGGGUGAAAUCCUAUAAUCCCGGGAGGACCACCAGUGGCGAAGGCUGUCGACUAGAACGCGCUCGACGGUGAGGGACGAAAGCUGGGGGAGCGAACCAGAUUAGAUACCCGGGUAGUCCCAGCUGUAAACGAUGCGGGCUAGGUGUUGGGGUGGCUACGUGCCACUUCAGUGCCGCAGGGAAGCCAUUAAGCCCGCCGCCUGGGGAGUACGGCCGCAAGGCUGAAACUUAAGGAAUUGCGGGGGAGCACCACAAGGCGUGAAGCUUGCGGUUC
rnacentral:rRNA from 1 species